rnacentral:rRNA from 1 species
GACGAACGCUGGCGGCGUGCUUAACACAUGCAAGUCGAGCGAUCUUCUUCGGAAGAGAGCGGCGGACGGGUGAGUAACGCGUGGGUAACCUGCCCUGUACACACGGAUAACAUACCGAAAGGUAUGCUAAUACGAGAUAAUAUACUUUUAUCGCAUGGUAGAAGUAUCAAAGCUCCGGCGGUACAGGAUGGACCCGCGUCUGAUUAGCUAGUUGGUAAGGUAACGGCUUACCAAGGCGACGAUCAGUAGCCGACCUGAGAGGGUGAUCGGCCACAUUGGAACUGAGACACGGUCCAAACUCCCACGGGAGGCAGCAGUGGGGAAUAUUGCACAAUGGGCGAAAGCCUGAUGCAGCAACGCCGCGUGAGCGAUGAAGGCCUUCGGGUCGUAAAGCUCUGUCCUCAAGGAAGAUAAUGACGGUACUUGAGGAGGAAGCCCCGGCUAACUACGUGCCAGCCGCCGCAGUAAAAC